rnacentral:rRNA from 1 species
GGAUUAGAUACCCUGGUAGUCCACGCCCUAAACGAUGUCUACUAGUUGUUGGGUCUUAAUUGACUUAGUAACGCAGCUAACGCGUGAAGUAGACCGCCUGGGGAGUACGGUCGCAAGAUUAAAACUCAAAGGAAUUGACGGGGACCCGCACAAGCGGUGGAUGAUGUGGAUUAAUUCGAUGCAACGCGAAAAACCUUACCUACCCUUGACAUGGCAGGAAUUCCGAAGAGAUUUGGAAGUGCUCGCAAGAGAACCUGCACACAGGUGCUGCAUGGCUGUCGUCAGCUCGUGCCG